GGGCGAUGGAAGCUACUCAUGGAUUAUGAGCUGGAGAGUGAAGAGCUCAUUUGAAGGCGACCCACUGCCGCUGCCUGGAAGAGGUGCUUGCCCAGAGGGACCCGAACACUUCAGCGGUGCCAUCUAAUGGAGCAUCUGAGACAAAAGGUCAAGUCUGAGGUGCUAAAGUGCUAAAGAAAAAGCAGAGCACACAAUGGGGAGACUGUGAUGACAUCGGGCCCACCAGAUAACCCAGAGUCAUCUCCCCAUCUGAAGAUCCUUAAUGACAUCUGCAAAGUUCCUUUUGCCAUGAAAGUGACCAUGUAGAUGUCUCCAUGCAGAGAGCCCUCGGAGUCUGCAGGCUUUCACCCAGCCCCACUGUGGUACCAGAGGUCCUCUUGGCAAAGUGGGUUGUUAGGAGACCCCCAGAGGGGCCCAGUGUCCACAGGAGCAGUGCUGGGAACUAGAAUCACUCACCAGAGGAUGAAACGUUUCAUAGGGCAAAGCCCUUUUCUU